GGGAAUUUUAAAUGAAGCUUCGGUAGAUUUUUAGAUGGAGAGCGGCGGACGGGUGAGUAACGCGUAGGCAACCUGCCCUUUGCAGAGGGAUAGCCAUUGGAAACGAUGAUUAAAACCUCAUAAUACUAAAUAGUCACAUGGCUGUUUGGUCAAAGAUUUAUCGGCAAAGGAUGGGCCUGCGUCUGAUUAGCUAGUUGGUGGGGUAACGGCCUACCAAGGCGACGAUCAGUAGCCGACCUGAGAGGGUGAUCGGCCACAUUGGAACUGAGACACGGUCCAAACUCCUACGGGAGGCAGCAGUGGGGAAUAUUGCACAAUGGGCGAAAGCCUGAUGCAGCAACGCCGCGUGAAGGAAGAAGGUCUUCGGAUCGUAAACUUCUGUCCUUGGGGAAGAUAAUGACGGUACCCUUGGAGGAAGCCCCGGCUAACUACGUGCCAGCAGCCGCGGUAAUACGUAGGGGGCAAGCGUUAUCCGGAAUUAUUGGGCGUAAAGAGUGCGUAGGUGGUUACUUAAGCGCGGGGUUUAAGGCAAUGGCUCAACCAUUGUUCGCCCUGCGAACUGGGUUACUUGAGUGCAGGAGAGGAAAGCGGAAUUCCUAGUGUAGCGGUGAAAUGCGUAGAUAUUAGGAGGAACACCAGUGGCGAAGGCGGCUUUCUGGACUGUUACUGACACUGAGGCACGAAAGUGUGGGGAGCAAACAGGAUUAGAUACCCUGGUAGUCCACACCGUAAACGAUGAGCACUAGGUGUCGGGGUCGCAAGACUUCGGUGCCGCAGUUAACGCAUUAAGUGCUCCGCCUGGGGAGUACGUACGCAAGUAUGAAACUCAAAGGAAUUGACGGGGACCCGCACAAGCAGCGGAGCAUGUGGUUUAAUUCGAAGCAACGCGAAGAACCUUACCAGGACUUGACAUCCUCCUGA
rnacentral:rRNA from 1 species